rnacentral:rRNA from 1 species
AUGAACGCUAGCGGGAGGCCUAACACAUGCAAGCCGAGCGGUAUAAUUCUUUCGGGAAUUAGAGAGCGGCGCACGGGUGCGGAACACGUGUGCAACCUGCCUUUAUCUGGGGGAUAGCCUUCCGAAAGGGAGAUUAAUACCCCAUAAUAUAUUGACUGGCAUCAGUUAAUAUUGAAAACUCCGGUGGAUAGAGAUGGGCACGCGCAAGAUUAGAUAGUUGGUGAGGUAACGGCUCACCAAGUCAGUGAUCUUUAGGGGGCCUGAGAGGGUGAUCCCCCACACUGGUACUGAGACACGGACCAGACUCCUACGGGAGGCAGCAGUGAGGAAUAUUGGACAAUGGGUGAGAGCCUGAUCCAGCCAUCCCGCGUGAAGGACGACGGCCCUAUGGGUUGUAAACUUCUUUUGUACAGGGAUAAACCUAGAUACGUGUAUCUAGCUGAAGGUACUGUACGAAUAAGCACCGGCUAACUCCGUGCCAGCAGCCGCCGCAG